ACGAGGGGGGCAAGCGUUGUUCGGAUUUAUUGGGCGUAAAGGGUGCGUAGGCGGUUUGACAAGUCUUAUGUGAAAUCUUCGGGCUCAACCCGAAGCCUGCAUAAGAAACUGUCGGGCUUGAGUAUGGGAGAGGUGAGUGGAAUUUCCGGUGUAGCGGUGAAAUGCGUAGAUAUCGGAAGGAACACCUGUGGCGAAAGCGGCUCACUGGACCAUAACUGACGCUGAGGCACGAAAGCUAGGGGAGCAAACAGGAUUAGAUACCCUGGUAGUCCUAGCCCUAAACGAUGAUUGCUUGAUGUGGCAGGUACCCAAUCCUGCCGUGUCGAAGCUAACGCGAUAAGCAAUCCGCCUGGGGAGUACGGUCGCAAGGCUG
rnacentral:rRNA from 1 species